CAGCCGCCACGGGAAUACGUAGGUGGCAAGCGUUGUCCGGAAUUAUUGGGCGUAAAGCGCGCGCAGGUGGUUUAAUAAGUCUGAUGUGAAAGCCCACGGCUCAACCGUGGAGGGUCAUUGGAAACUGUUAAACUUGAGUGCAGGAGAGAAAAGUGGAAUUCCUAGUGUAGCGGUGAAAUGCGUAGAGAUUAGGAGGAACACCAGUGGCGAAGGCGGCUUUUUGGCCUGUAACUGACACUGAGGCGCGAAAGCGUGGGGAGCAAACAGGAUUAGAUACCCGGGUAGUCCCUGUCUCUUAUAC
rnacentral:rRNA from 1 species